AGCUCCAAUAGCGUAUAUUAAAGUUGCUGCAGUUAAAAAGCUCGUAGUUGCAUUUCCGAGGCAAGGGAUUAGUCCGACCUUUGGUGGGUAUUUAAUCCUCUUGCCUCGUCCUUGAGUGGUGCUUCUUGGUAUUAAGUUAUCGAGGAGAUAGCCGCUCAUCGUUUACUGUGAGAAAAUUAGAGUGUUCAAAGCAGGCUUAUGCCGUUGAAUAUAUUAGCAUGGAAUAAUAAGAUAGGACCUCGGUACUAUUUUGUGGGUUUGGGAACCAAGGUAAUGAUGAAUAGGGACAGUUGGGGGUAUUCGUAUUCAGUUGUCAGAGGUGAAAUUCUUAGAUUUACGGAAGACGAACUACUGCGAAAGCAUUUACCAAGGAUGUUUUCA
rnacentral:rRNA from 1 species